rnacentral:tRNA from 2 species
GGCGCCAUCGUCUAAUGGUUAGGACAUCAGGUUUUCAUCCUGGUAAUCGGGGUUCGAUUCCCCGUGGCGCUACAA